UCAAAUAGCAACAACAGCAGGGCUGAGCCUGGUCAGUACCUGGAUGGGAGACCACAUGGGAACACUAGGUUGCUGUUGGAA
rnacentral:rRNA from 1 species